UACGGAGGGGACUAGCGUUGUUCGGAAUUACUGGGCGUAAAGGGCGCGUAGGUGGCCGAGCAAGGUCGCGGUGAAAGCCCGGGGCCUCAACCCCGGGUCGGCCCGUGGCAACUACUGGGCUGGAGCACUGUAGGGGCGGGUGGAAUUCCGGGUGUAGCGGUGGAAUGCGUAGAGAUCCGGAAGAACACCGGUGGCGAAGGCGGCCCGCUGGGCAGUGCUGACACUGAGGCGCGACAGCGUGGGGAGCAAACAGG
rnacentral:rRNA from 1 species